UACGUAGGGUGCAAGCGUUAUCCGGAAUUAUUGGGCGUAAAGAGCUCGUAGGCGGUUUGUCGCGUCUGCCGUGAAAGUCCGGGCUCAACUCCGGAUCUGCGGUGGUCGGGCAGACUAGAGUGAUGUAGGGGAGACUGGAAUUCCUGGUGUAGCGGUGGAAUGCGCAGAUAUCAGGAGGAACACCGAUGGCGAAGGCAGGUCUCUGGGCCAUUACUGACACUGAGAAGCGAAAGCAUGGGGAGCGAACAGG
rnacentral:rRNA from 1 species